CUUCAGUACAAUACAGGCUAUAUGAGUUGCUUAAACAAGUCUAAAUGACCUUAAUUCAAGUUAAAGCUGUCCAUAGCUUUUCUAAACAUAGCUUUGGCUUUACCGACUGAAACUCAAAGAGGGCGCCGAACGGACUUUUGUUUUGAAAAUGAACCGGAAGUGCAUUGUCGCUGACUGACGUGUGGGUGGGCUUCCCCCGGGCUGACUUCUAGCACACAAACAAACAAAUAAACUGCGGAUAUUACAGCCGACAGACAGACAGCCCUCUGGAGUAGACAGACAGACAGACAGACCGACUGACAGCCCUCUGGUGGAGACCGACUCCUCUACAGAAGCGGACUGAACACCACUGUAACUCCAUGGAGCGAUGCUUUAGGAUGUCAUAAAGCAGUCAAAACAAAGACCCGCCAGUAAGUAGAAAGAGGAUUAAAGAGUUUACAGCAUGAAGAAACGUGUCCAACAAAGCAUUUGAUAAACCGUGUUCCCUGAACCUUUGCUCAGAAACCUUUUUCAGCCAGUCGGUCUGAGGCGGGCGGCAGAACACAUCCUAUGAUCACACAGUGGUGAUACAGAUUGAUUUAUUCCUCUUCAGCAUGUUGCUCCUUGCUUUUGGUUUGAAGUUGUCUUAAAGUAAAGAAUAUAAUAGUUGACGUUCCCCUCUAGAUCAAAAACAUCUUCUCCCAUUGGCCCGUGUCGUGGGAGGACGACAUUUCCAAAGCUAACCAUUUAUUUAUCAGCCUGUCCUCAUGCUCUAUUUUACAUCUCGUAUGGAUAAUAAAUUGUAGCCUCAUUUUCUAUUCUUCAUCGUCUUCACUAAAUCAUGGUGUGACCCUAACCCUAACCCUUACC
ensembl:lncRNA